rnacentral:tRNA from 1 species
CGGCCUGUAGCUCAGCUGGUAGAGCAGCUGACUCUUAAUCAGCGGGCCCAGGGUUCGAGUCCCUGCAGGCCGA